rnacentral:rRNA from 1 species
AGUGAACGCUGGCGGUAGGCCUAACACAUGCAAGUCGAACGGCAGCACAGUAAGAGCUUGCUCUUACGGGUGGCGAGUGGCGGACGGGUGAGGAAUACAUCGGAAUCUACUUUUUCGUGGGGGAUAACGUAGGGAAACUUACGCUAAUACCGCAUACGACCUACGGGUGAAAGCAGGGGAUCUUCGGACCUUGCGCGACUGAAUGAGCCGAUGUCGGAUUAGCUAGUUGGCGGGGUAAAGGCCCACCAAGGCGACGAUGCGUAGCUGGUCUGAGAGGAUGAUCAGCCACACUGGAACUGAGACACGGUCCAGACUCCUACGGGAGGCAGCAGUGGGGAAUAUUGGACAAUGGGCGCAAGCCUGAUCCAGCCAUACCGCGUGGGUGAAGAAGGCCUUCGGGUUGUAAAGCCCUUUUGUUGGGAAAGAAAAGCAGCAGGUUAAUACCCCGCUGUUCUGACGGUACCCAAAGAAUAAGCACCGGCUAACUUCGUG